rnacentral:lncRNA from 1 species
UGUUCCAGAUGCCCAGUUGGACCAGGGUUUUCUUAACUGGAUGAGCUUGCCCAGCACCCUUCUCAUACUUCACACUUCUGCCCUAGCACCUUGGGCUGGGUUUCCACCACAACUUAUGCUCACCAUAUAUUCAUCGAGCCUCCCUUGGGCCUAAUGCUCUGCUGGGUGCAAUGCAAGAUACAGAAUGUCCCCAAGGUUCCAGGAGAGGCAGAGCUAAGGCCAGGUGACUGCAGAUGACUGCAAGGCAGCAAUGGUUUGAGCAUCCCUGAAUUGCUGCUCACAAGUGCUUUAAACACCCAAAGGAAGAAGGGGCACUUUAGUGAGGAAGGCCAAGUGAAGGAGCCAGGAUUUGGAACCAACAGUGAGAUGGCUAUGGAAGCAAACUUGCCUCCAUCUCCAAGCCUCCUCCCUUUCUUCUCUCUGCCCCAGGAACCCUGGCCAAAUCACACAUCCCUCAGCUUCCUGAGAGAACUAGAGACUUUGAGCAGCUGGUAGUGUUACCAGUGUACCUCCACAAACACUCCUGGGACAACAGGUGAUGACAAGAGGACGGUAGAGCCCAGAGAAGAGAGCUUACCUGGAGGGAGGAAGAAGUCACAGGUUUUAAGCAGGAACUGGCCUGCAUGUAUGUGGAUCACUGAUUGGGAGGGUGGUGAGCCCUGGGAUAGGAUUGGAUCAUCAUGUCUCCUCUAGGGCAGGGUGGUUUUUUCUAGCCCUGUGGCACUACUCACUGUACAGCAUCCCCCAGAGCUCAAUAUUUUCUUUUUCUUUUUUUUUGAGAUGGAGUCUAACUCUGUCACUCAGGCUAGAGUGCAGUAGUGCAAUCUUGGCUCACUGCAACCUCCGCCUCCUGGGUUCAAGUGAUUCUCCUGCCUCAGCCUCCUGAGUAGCUGGGCUGACAGGCGCACGCCACCAUGCCCAGCUAAUUUUUGUAUUUUUAGUAGAGAUGGGGUUUCACCAUGUUAGCCAGGUUGGUCUUGAACUCCUGACCUCAAGUGAUCCACCCACCUCAGCCUCCCAAAGUGCUGAGAUUACAAACGUGAGCCACCAUGCCUGACCAGCACUUGCUUUUUUCACUCACCAGUGUAUUCUGGAUAUUUUUUUCAUAGCACUACAGAGACAGCAUCUGUAUUCUUUUAAACUCUUAUCCAUCGUGUGGCUAGAUUAUAGUUCAUUUAGCAAACCUAAAAAUUAUUGUGAACUACAGUAUUUCACAUUUACAAAAAGGUGCUUAGAAUUAUAUAAUAAGCGGCCGGGCGCUGUGGCCUGCCUGUAAAUCCCAGCACUUUAGAGGCCGAGACGGCUGGAUCACUUCAGGUCA